AUAGCUCAUUCGCACCUGAAAUCAUAACCCAUUUGCAAUCGAAAUAUUUUGCGUUAAAACCGUGCAACGUUGCCGACCUGUAUGCCGGAAUACGAUGCAAAACUGCUGCGGACUCACCUUUUAUCAUACUGUUUUUAGAUUUUACGUUACACCCUUAUCGAUAUUGGUCAAUUGUAUGACACUUCAUGACAGUUCUCUCCGUGAAUGCGUUGUGCAACGUUACGCAAAUUACAAACACAAGUUUCACGUGU